UAUCUUCAGCCAAGGAUGGAAUGAAGGAAAAAAUGACUUUUCAGUGCCUGCUGUGGCUGGAGCAUGAGGCAUCUCAAAUGUAGUGCUGAAAUGCAGCUGGUGCCAUUCCAGGCACUGCCUGGCAGCCGCAGCCCUCGGCUCUGGGAGCAGGGAUGGAGCUGCCAAGGCUGGACCAACUUUGACGUGUUUCACACUGAUGACGAUCCAGCCUCCAGGAUUUGUGACCUAGAGGCGAAAAGCAGAGAGCAGCAGUGGAAGGAGCCUGUCUGCAGCUGGCAGACAUCCACACAGCCCAGGAGGGCUUUCCAGAUUCUCACCAGCUGAGAGAACGUGGGGCACUCAGGGCCUUGGAGCAGCAGCCAUCCCAGUGACUAAGAAGGAAGGCAAAGGAAGAGGCAGCCUGAACCCCCGUGGCUCUCUGUGGCAGCAUCCCAAACCGUGUCAGCCGGAUGCUGAGCAGGCAGCGCAGGAUU